rnacentral:misc_RNA from 2 species
CCGAGUGUUUGGAUGCCCCCUUCUUGGGGGUGUCCGUCCUCCCAUCCGUGUCUAUUGUACCCUGUUGCUUCGGCGGGCCCGCCCUCUUGUGGCCGCCGGGGGGCUUCCCUUGCCCCCGGGCCCGCGCCCGCCGGAGACCUCAACCAUUGAACACUGUCUGAAGGUUGCAGUCUGAGUACCGAUAAACAAAUCGUUA